UACGGGGGGGGCAAGCGUUGUUCGGAAUUACUGGGCGUAAAGGCUCGUAGGCGGCCAACUAAGUCGGACGUGAAAUCCCUCGGCUUAACCGGGGAACUGCGUCCGAUACUGGAUGGCUUGAGUUCGGGAGAGGGAUGCGGAAUUCCAGGUGUAGCGGUGAAAUGCGUAGAUAUCUGGAGGAACACCGGUGGCGAAGGCGGCAUCCUGGACCGAUACUGACGCUGAUGAGCGAAAGCCAGGGGAGCAAACGGG
rnacentral:rRNA from 1 species